rnacentral:lncRNA from 1 species
AUUUAACUUGUGUAUCUUUUUUUUGUUUUAUAUUUAAAAAUAUUUUUUAGAUUAUAUUUGACAAAUUAUAACUAGUUGUGCCUAGUAUAUGAUAAUUUAUGACUUGAUAAUGUAUUUUAUAUGAAGCAUUCAGAUGCCUUUCUGCUACAAUUAUGUUUUGUAUUAUCGAUUUAUUCCAACUAUUUACUCUAAGCUGAUUAAUUUUAAGUGUAACAAAACUCUUGUGAAUUCUAAUUUAUUCCUACCAUGUUAUGUUUGUCCACUUCCAAGCAGACUGUGAUGUUUUUUGUCUUUACAUAGCUAUUUUUAUAAUAAAUAAUGCUGCAUU